AAUACGAGCAAUGAAACAAUCCAGUUUUUAUAAUCUUCAAAUUUUAAUAUGAACAUAUAAAAAUAUUAUUGUCAACUUAUAGCAGUUAUAAAAAUCAAAUAUUAGAUUUUAAUACAUUAUAUAAAGAUAACAAUAAAGAAUCACUCACCGACAGAUAAUGAAUAUACAACAUUCUACACCCUAACCUGUCCUAACCUAAGGUUUAUUUCCAUUGCUUACGAUUUACAAACGUUUUGGGGGAAAAUAUCAUAUGUUCCUUACGACGAAUUGCUGAAUGUUAACGGAAAUGACGUUUACCGUUAUUCUCGUAAAUAAAGCAUAUCAAAAAGUAUUUUUAAUUUUCGAAAAUGUUAUAAAUCUGUAUUUGUAACAGUACUGUUACAAAGUUAUUUAAAGUUUUGUCAAAUUUUAAACGUGUAAAAUGAAAGCAUAACUCAAAUUAAUACAUAAUUUUAGUAAUAACUUUAUGAAUAGAAGAAAGUGACACAAUAAAAUGUUAUCUAAGGUCUCAGGCAUGCUUAUAAUGUUCAUCAAAUUAUUUAUUGAUAAGUGUUAUUAAGUUUUACAAAUAUUUAUGUUGGAUGUUUUUACAUAUGUAAUAUUAAUAUAUUUCUAAUGAAAUAUUUUAUAUACAGGA